GAAGCACGCCAGACCGUCGCUGGUGCAAUUCCCGAAAGGGCGCACUGGAGGAACGUCCGGACUGCACAGGACAGCGCAGGAGUUAACGACUCUCCACCGCGAGGUGAGGAUCAGAGCAACAGAGACGAGUCGGUGAAGGGGCAACCCCGAUCCGGGUGAAACGGGCAAUCUCUGCGCGCAGCAACACCAAAUAGGCCAGCGCACGGAGCGAGCGGUUCGCCGCGACCUCCUGAUCCCGUGGUUCCGCGGAUGGCUGGCGGGUAGGUGGCAUCGAGCCGUCCGGGCGACCGGCGGCCCAGAGUAAUGACGGUCACGUUGGGGGCAACUUCAACGCACAGAAUCCGGCUUAUCGGCGGGCUUCACAC
rnacentral:RNase_P_RNA from 2 species